UGCGCAGGCGGUUUUGUAAGUCAGAUGUGAAAUCCCCGGGCUCAACCUGGGAACUGCAUUUGAGACUGCAAGGCUAGAGUGUGGCAGAGGGGGGUGGAAUUCCACGUGUAGCAGUGAAAUGCGUAGAGAUGUGGAGGAACACCGAUGGCGAAGGCAGCCCCCUGGGCCAAUACUGACGCUCAUGCACGAAAGCGUGGGGAGCAAACAGGAUUAGAUACCCUGGUAGUCCACGCCCUAAACGAUGUCAACUAGGUGUUGGAAGGGUUAAACCUUUUAGUGCCGUAGCUAACGCGUGAAGUUGACCGCCUGGGGAGUACGGCCGCAAGGCUAAA
rnacentral:rRNA from 1 species